UGUACGGAAUCCUUUAGAGAUAGAGGAGUGUUCGAAAGAGAGCCGUAACACAGGUGCUGCAUGGCUGUCGUCAGCUCGUGUCGUGAGAUGUUGGGUUAAGUCCCGCAACGAGCGCAACCCUUGCCAUUAGUUGCUACGAAAGGGCACUCUAAUGGGACUGCCGGUGACAAACCGGAGGAAGGUGGGGAUGACGUCAAGUCCUCAUGGCCCUUAUAGGUGGGGCUACACACGUCAUACAAUGGCUGGUACAGAGGGUUGCCAACCCGCGAGGGGGGGCCAAUCCCACAAAGCCAGUCGUAGUCCGGAUCGCAGUCUGCAACUCGACUGCGUGAAGUCGGAAUCGCUAGUAAUCGCGGAUCAGAAUGUCGCGGCGAAUACGUUCCCGGGUCUUGUACACACG
rnacentral:rRNA from 1 species